rnacentral:rRNA from 1 species
ACGAACGCUGGCGGCGUGCCUAAUACAUGCAAGUAGAACGCUGAAGGAGGAGCUUGCUUCUCUGGAUGAGUUGCGAACGGGUGAGUAACGCGUAGGUAACCUGCCUGGUAGCGGGGGAUAACUAUUGGAAACGAUAGCUAAUACCGCAUAAUAGUAGAUGUUGCAUGACAUUUGCUUAAAAGGUGCAAUUGCAUCACUACCAGAUGGACCUGCGUUGUAUUAGCUAGUUGGUGGGGUAACGGCUCACCAAGGCGACGAUACAUAGCCGACAUGAGAGGGUGAUCGGCCACACUGGGACUGAGACACGGCCCAGACUCCUACGGGAGGCAGCAGUAGGGAAUCUUCGGCAAUGGACGGAAGUCUGACCGAGCAACGCCGCGUGAGUGAAGAAGGUUUUCGGAUCGUAAAGCUCUGUUGUAAGAGAAGAACGAGUGUGAGAGUGGAAAGUUCACACUGUGACGGUAUCUUACCAGAAAGGGACGGCUAACUACGUG